rnacentral:rRNA from 1 species
AGUGAACGCUGGCGGUAGGCCUAACACAUGCAAGUCGAACGGCAGCACAGUAAGAGCUUGCCCUUACGGGUGGCGAGUGGCGGACGGGUGAGGAAUACAUCGGAAUCUACUUUUUCGUGGGGGAUAACGUAGGGAAACUUACGCUAAUACCGCAUACGACCUACGGGUGAAAGCAGGGGAUCUUCGGACCUUGCGCGAUUGAAUGAGCCGAUGUCGGAUUAGCUAGUUGGCGGGGUAAAGGCCCACCAAGGCGACGAUCCGUAGCUGGUCUGAGAGGAUGAUCAGCCACACUGGAACUGAGACACGGUCCAGACUCCUACGGGAGGCAGCAGUGGGGAAUAUUGGACAAUGGGCGCAAGCCUGAUCCAGCCAUACCGCGUGGGUGAAGAAGGCCUCCGGGUUGUAAAGCCCUUUUGUUGGGAAAGAAAAGCAGCAGGUUAAUACCCCGCUGUUCUGACGGUACCCAAAGAAUAAGCACCGGCUAACUUCGUG